UUUAGCAUCCAUCUCACGAAGCGAGCGACAAGGCAAAGUAAUCGAGAACCAAAACAAACAUCUCUCAGGCGAUCCUGCUGCUGCUGCAGUGUCCAGCUACCGUAAUCCAUUGCUUCGGGCGUAGUGGAGAUGGGCACCGCAGCAACAUUCAACUUCUUGUCCAACAAUGGGGUGUUUCAACCAGCGCGGCCAAGUCAAGUGUUUGUUUUGCUUAGAGAUACAGCAUUACUAUCGCCAGGACACUCGAAUUGCCAUUUUUUUUUUUUUUUAUUAAAAUUGCCGUUUCCAUAAACUAGGAAGGAGAUCUAUGUAAUUUGGACUUUUGACUGUCAUAGACAUGUUGCCUUUAUGUUUACUUUCGUCUAGAUUAAGAUGUUUCCAAUCAAGAGUGUAUUCAUUUGGAAAUCUUAAGAUAACCAAAUAAAUGUAAAUGCUGAUUCACCAGAAAAUCAACUUAUAUACAUUUGUUCAUGAAAAGAGUUUGAUUUUACUUGUGUUACUACUUAGAAGGGAUUACGUAGAAAAAUAUAUUAUAUAAGCAUCUUCAUGUAAAUAGAAUAACACUGUAGGUAUAUCUGAUAUUGCUUGUAUGUGAGAGGAGUUUGUGUCUGUGCUGCCACCUGGUGACAACCACUAGUUCUGAAAACUCUAUAACUGCACAGGUAUUAAAGUAUGGAGAAAUGAUAGCAGACUGGAUGAAUUUAAUUAUGUGAACUCGUGCGGAAACGAGGAGAGGCAGUACCAGAUGAGUGGAUGAAGGCAGUUAUUUACAUUUAUAUAAAGGCAAGGGUUGUAGGAAUGUGCAAAAGUUACAGGGGGAUAAGUUUGCUUAUCUGCUGAUCUGGUAUGUGAUGUAUUGCGGAGUAUUUUCUACUGUUUUGGUCCCUCAGAAAAAAUCUUGACUGAUCAGGGAAAGGAAUUCUGUAAUACCUUAAAUGACAAACUCUUUUCCAUUUUCCAAGUGAAGCACCUUUUAAUACUUGCUUACCACCCCCAAACUAAUAGUCAAGAUGAGAGGACCAACUGGAUGAUGAACGGCAUUUUAACUAAAUUAGUAAAUGAAAACCAGGAUGACCGGGACAGACACUUAAAGGUCUGGUUUAUUUGGUAUAAAAACAUCAGUGCAAGCUUCAACAAAGUAUUCUCCCUUUUUCUUGAUGUUUGAUAGAUAGCCAAGACUGUUUAUUGAACUGCAACAAAAUGAUCAUAAAGUUGAUAUUUUAGAAUUCCCAAAUUUGAAUCCCUCUGAUGAGUCAGUAGAGUUAAGAAUCAGUCACAUGACAGCUGUAAAAGAAAAAGUUCAGUCAUAUUGCUAAAACAAGCUAAAGCAAGAGAAAUAUUAUGAAAGGAGAAAAGCUAAAGGAUACAAGUCAUUUGACUUUAAGAUUAGAAUGAAAGUUCUUGUAAAGAAUAUUAAAAAGCAAGGAAGGAAAGGUUCAUGGCUUGAGGAGGACUGGCUUGGACCUUACAACAUACACAGCAUCUUAGAUAACUGUGUAAAAGUUAGAAGAAGCGGAAAAGUCCUUGGAAAUAAAAUUGUAUUAGUUCACAUUAAACCUUAUAAAUCCCCUAGUACUGCACAGGAGCAUGCAUAGCUUUCUGGCCAAAUACUGCUGCCAUCAGUUACAGGAAAUCCUUCUGCUGUCUCUAUCUUUCCAGAAUCCACAGCAUCUGGGAAGGAGCCAUGAGAUGACACUUCCCCACCUACAAACCAUGCUGGUGUGAGGCAGCAGCCUGAUAUGCUCCUUUCUGAAGGGUCACAGCAUAUCACUCCCCUGCCUUUCAGCACUUUGAAUCCAUGGCAUCCAGGGAGGAGCCUCAAGAGAACAUUUCCCCAACUAAAGACCAUGCUGGUGUGAGGCAGCAGUCUGAUAUGCUCCUUUUCAAAGGGUCCCAGCAUAUCACUCCCCUGCCUGUCAGCACUGUCAGUAAGGAAUGCAUUUCAGAAACCACAGCAUCAUGGGGAGGAGCCUCCAGAGGACACUUCCCCAGCUACAGACACUGUUGAUGUGAGGCAGCAGCCUGAUAUGCUCCUUUUCAAAGAGUCACAGCAUAUCACUCCUCAGCCUGUCAGCACUGUUAAUAAGGAAUGCAUUUUUAGAUAUUCUAAAAGUCCCCAUGUACAGUCUACAGGCCAUCUAGGGAGGAGCCCUGAGGUGGCACUUGUAGAUAAGUGGAUCCUUAUUUAGGGGAUACAGAUUUUCCAGAAGUGUUAGUGUGAUAUGGAUAAAAAAAAAGCUUAAAAUAUAAUAAAUCUUUCUUU